UACAUGGGGUGCAAACGUUGCUCGGCAUUAUUGGGCGUAAAGCGCACGUAGGCGGUCCGUUAAGUCGGAUGUGAAAGCCCCCGGCUCAACCGGGGAAGUGCAUCCGAAACUGGCAGGCUAGAGUACGAAAGAGGGUCGCGGAAUUCCCGGUGUAGAGGUGAAAUUCGUAGAUAUCGGGAGGAACACCGGUGGCGAAGGCGGCGACCUGGGUCGAUACUGACGCUGAGGUGCGAAAGCGUGGGGAGCAAACAGG
rnacentral:rRNA from 1 species